UACGAAGGGGGCUAGCGUUGCUCGGAAUCACUGGGCGUAAAGCGCACGUAGGCGGAUUGCUAAGUCAGGGGUGAAAUCCUGGAGCUCAACUCCAGAACUGCCUUUGAUACUGGCGACCUUGAGUCCGGGAGAGGUGAGUGGAACUGCGAGUGUUAGAGGUGAAAUUCGUAGAUAUUCGCAAGAACACCAGUGGCGAAGGCGGCUCACUGGCCCGGUACUGACGCUGAGGUGCGAAAGCGUGGGGAGCGAACAGG
rnacentral:rRNA from 1 species